AGAACAACUAAGACCAACUGGAG
rnacentral:piRNA from 1 species